GCGUGGAGACAGGUGGUGCAUGGCUGUCGUCAGCUCGUGUCGUGAGAUGUUGGGUUAAGUCCCGCAACGAGCGCAACCCUUACCCCUAGUUGCCACCGGGUAAAGCCGAGCACUCGAGGGGAACUGCCAGCGUCAAGCUGGAGGAAGGCGGGGAUGACGUCAAGUCAUCAUGCCCCUUACGCCCUGGGCUACACACGUGCUACAAUGGCCGGUACAAAGGGACGCGAGACUGCAAAGUGGAGCUAAUCCCAAAAAACCGGUCUAAGUUCAGAUUGCAGUCUGCAACUCGACUGCAUGAAGGAGGAAUCGCUAGUAAUCGCGCAUCAGCACGGCGCGGUGAAUACGUUCCCGGGCCUUGUACACACCGCCCGUCACACCACGAAAGCUGUCUGUACUCGAAGUCGC
rnacentral:rRNA from 1 species